rnacentral:rRNA from 1 species
ACACACGGAUAACAUACCGAAAGGUAUGCUAAUACGGGAUAAUAUAUUUGAGAGGCAUCUCUUAAAUAUCAAAGGUGAGCCAGUACAGGAUGGACCCGCGUCUGAUUAGCUAGUUGGUAAGGUAACGGCUUACCAAGGCAACGAUCAGUAGCCGACCUGAGAGGGUGAUCGGCCACAUUGGAACUGAGACACGGUCCAAACUCCUACGGGAGGCAGCAGUGGGGAAUAUUGCACAAUGGGCGAAAGCCUGAUGCAGCAACGCCGCGUGAGUGAUGAAGGCCUUCGGGUCGUAAAACUCUGUCCUCAAGGAAGAUAAUGACGGUACUUGAGGAGGAAGCCCCGGCUAACUACGUGCCAGCAGCCGCGGUAAUACGUAGGGGGCUAGCGUUAUCCGGAUUUACUGGGCGUAAAGGGUGCGUAGGCGGUCUUUCAAGUCAGGAGUGAAAGGCUACGGCUCAACCGUAGUAAGCUCUUGAAACUGGGAGACUUGAGUGCAGGAGAGGAGAGUGGAAUUCCUAGUGUAGCGGUGAAAUGCGUAGAUAUUAGGAGGAACACCAGUUGCGAAGGCGGCUCUCUGGACUGUAACUGACGCUGAGGCACGAAAGCGUGGGGAGCAAACAGGAUUAGAUACCCUGGUAGUCCACGCUGUAAACGAUGAGUACUAGGUGUCGGGGGUUACCCCCUUCGGUGCCGCAGCUA